AUAAAAAUUUAAAUUUAAAAAAAUACACUGCUAGGGAGUAAUUGUUUGAUAGCACAGAAAUCUCAAUUUUACAGACAAAAUUUAAAAUUCUUAGCGGCGCAAGAAAAACAUAAUUUCUGUGUUUUCGUUUUUCGUUUGAACUGCCGCCAGCGACGAAAUAAUGCAUUCUAUAAUUGUAAAAGCUCGUGUAAAUGCUGGCAAUAAAAUUCUUUUUAGUAAUGGACAGCAUCGCAUGUACUUAUGUGUGUGAUCACACUCGACCCUUUGCAUCAGAAAACUUAAUGCUGCUCGCAACAUGAAAAUAUGAUAUUCGAUAUGAUAUGAGCGUUGAUGUAAUGUGGUUGCAUUGGAGAAUUGAGAACUUUUCCAAACCAGUUCCUGCUGCCUUUUGUUUUCAUUCAUUCAAGAGUGAUCGCCGCACAACACAAAGCAACCUAAACAUAUUUGUGAUAUUCGGCGAGUUUUCCGGAAAUACUCGUAUACGGACAGUGAUCAUUCGGUGUUUACCCGUAUCUGCUUACGCAUGCGCAGCAGGAACUUAGAACACACCUUUGUUUGAUGUGGCGUUGAGUGGCGCAGGGGAUGAUACAGAUCGCUUGCACGCACAAAAACACACACGAACAAAUAAUAUAGUAUAUUUACCAGGUAUGUUCCAGGUAUCAUUAUUGCAUGUGUUCAAGCGCACAGCCCAACCCAUCUUAGUCUAACGCACGCAAUACCGCUAAGUUAGGAAGUUGCAGUAUGAAUUGCCCUCAAAAGUCGUGGCUUUUCAUUAACAGACGCUUUUGUAUUGUUAAUGAUUUCAGAAUUUCAUAAUUUCCAAAGAAAUAAUUGCAUUGUUCUAUACUCGCUGGCUGUUGUUGCUUGCUGAGAAAAAUCAAGUUUUCGAAUUUGUAUAGAGUGCUUUUUUCCCGGCGGUUUUCCCAAAAUUUUCCAAACAAUUGAAAUGCCAAUGCUUUGUUUCGUCAAAAAAUUCUGCACACAAAUGUUAAACGAGUUUUCUUCUUUAUGAAAAAUAUUUCUAAUUCAAAAAUUUUGUGCAAUAAAUGCCACAAAAACAAUGCCAACCGCUGGCGUCAAAGGAAUCAAAUGUUCGUUGGAGGUCAGCAUUGGUGUUGUUAAUGACCCGAACUAUGUGACCGACCAACCGCCUUGUGUAAUCAAUACACAAUACUUGUUUAACUCCUGGUAAUCGGGGUAACGGUAACAUUGCAUUUGGCGAAAGACUGUCUCAAAAGUCAAUUUCGUUUGACAAUGCAUGCAUUAUUUGCACGACACACACAUACUUACAUAUAGUAGAAUUGUCCAGUAAAACUAUUGUUUUCCAUUGAGAUUUGUCACAAAAGAAAACCACUCCGACAGUGAAAAGGCGUUUCGAAUUGCAACAAAGUGAAAAUGAACAGCGAUAAAGUUUCCAAAAUAUUGUUAUUUAAUGACAGGCAUGAACGAGUAGAGAGCACUGUUCGCAUUUUCUCUUUGUCUUAUCGAGGAUAUUCUACCAUAAAUACUGUAGAGUUUUGUGAGAAAUUCAGUUAUUUUUCUUCAAUUAUUAUGUUCUAUAAGAUAUAAUAUGAUUUUGGUUUUAAGUCCUCGAUCCCGCAAGAGGGAAAUACAAUUUGAUUUAAAUAUUGAUCAUAGGUUUGUUUGAAGGAGGUUGAUGCGAAUCAGAGGAAUUUUGUAUACUUAGUGCUUGAGGAAAUCUAAUUGUCUAUUAAGGCUCUGUUUGAUCUGUUAAUACCUAAGAAUUAUGGAGACCACAUAUUUAUCUUACCAUCUUUAUAUAAGAAUCUUUAUUCAAUUAACGACCAAAGAAUCGCUGUUAAAAAUAUGAUAAUUAGUUUUUGCGACAUUGAUUAGAACUUGAAACCCAUCGAAUAGAUAUCCCAACUAAUAGGUUC